UACGUAGGGUGCAAGCGUUAAUCGGAAUUACUGGGCGUAAAGCGUGCGCAGGCGGUGAUGUAAGACAGAUGUGAAAUCCCCGGGCUCAACCUGGGAACUGCAUUUGUGACUGCAUCGCUGGAGUGCGGCAGAGGGGGAUGGAAUCCGCGUGUAGCAGUGAAAUGCGUAGAUAUGCGGAGGAACACCGAUGGCGAAGGCAAUCCCCUGGGCCUGCACUGACGCUCAUGCACGAAAGCGUGGGGAGCAAACAGG
rnacentral:rRNA from 1 species